rnacentral:rRNA from 1 species
UACGUAGGGUGCGAGCGUUAAUCGGAAUUACUGGGCGUAAAGCGCACGUAGGCGGAUCGUUAAGUCGGGGGUGAAAUCCUGGAGCUCAACUCCAGAACUGCCUUCGAUACUGGCGAUCUCGAGUCCGGAAGAGGUGAGUGGAACUCCUAGUGUAGAGGUGGAAUUCGUAGAUAUUAGGAAGAACACCAGUGGCGAAGGCGGCUCACUGGUCCGGUACUGACGCUGAGGUGCGAAAGCGUGGGGAGCAAACAGG